GACGUAGGAUGCAAGCGUUGUCCGGAUUUAUUGGGCGUAAAGAGUUCGUAGGUGGUUUGUUAAGUCUGAUGUUAAAGGCUGGGGCUCAACCUCGGAAAUGCAUUGGAUACUGGCAGACUUGAGUGUGGUAGAGGCAAUCGGAAUUCCAGGUGUAGCGGUGAAAUGCGUAGAUAUCUGGAAGAACACCGGUGGCGCAAGCGGAUUGCUGGGCCAUAACUGACACUGAGGAACGAAAGCUAGGGUAGCAAACAGG
rnacentral:rRNA from 1 species